AGUCAGACAUGACUGAGCGACUAACACUAACUAACCAGCUCCAUGCUGGCUGUGGAGGAAGGCUUAGUCUGAGGCCUGGCAAACAGGGCAGUUCCUGGAGACCAACCAAUUGGGAGUUAGGAAGGUUAGAACUCAAAUUGUGUCAGUUUUCACAGGUAAUAGGUUAAGUUGAAACCUCUAUUGGGGUCUGAUAGAAAAAUAAAAAGAGCCUGUGGUUUCAGGAACGCGCUUCAGCAACCCGAAAGAACUAAACACAAAGGAGUCCUAAGGGCUGGUAUGUAAAGUGAAACUUACAAGCUCUUCCUUUGACCUUGGCCAAGGUCGUUCCCUCUGGCCUCACCAGUCCCGUUCAUUCUAUGGGGGAAGGUCCCAUUUAAGGCCCAGGGAACUGAAGAAAGAAGGCAGGUAGAAGGGCAACACUCAGUCUGGUGCCGACCCCCAGGCGGACGACGUCGCAGGAGGGCAGCGCGGGAAGUCGCCCCGGGUGCCGCAGCAGCGAGAGAAGGGCUGCAACCUGGCGAGGGACUGGGUGAGGUGGGGGUGGGGUCGGAGGAGGGGUCCUCCGCCUGUGUCUGUCGCCUCCUGCCGAGGUCAGGGCGCCCCCUCCUCUUCUCAGACUCCUCCGGCCUCGCCCCUCCCGCUCACAUUCCCAACUCCUGAAGACAACUUGUCGCUCACUUCAGAAGCCCGGGGCUCCUUUCUGUCCCCCCCGACUCUGCUUUCUCCCACUUCUUUUGUCUAUUUCUGCAUCUGACCGCUUCUCUGGGAAGCUUUCCUCGAACUCUCUUCCCUACAGUCUGUAAUACGCUCCCCACCCCACCCCACCCCCACCUCGCCUUUGCCUCCCUAUCUCUCUCCACACACACACACACACACACACACACACUCUCUCUCACACCCUCUUUUCUCUGCCGGCCAUCUCGGCGCCUUUCCUCUGCGGCCCUGCCCUUCCAGAAGCAGGCAAGGCCCAUUCUGGGAACCGCCGCGCUGCGAUCCGACGGCGCCCCAGGGAGGGGCAGGCUCGGUCGUGCCCACGUCCCGGGUUCCUGCAGCCCUGGAAGACUCGCGGAGUACAGCGCGGUCCGGAGAGAGGGCGCCAAAGGCGACACGCCGGCGGCCAGCUCCAGGCCAAGCCCAGUGCGUCUGCAGGCCCCUUCACCCGGCGCGGGACACAAAGCUGCGGGAGGAGGAUCUUCUUCAGCGCGGACUCAGCACCAGGCCGCCGCCUAGAGGUCGGCGGCGGCCACAGCCCCAUCCGCCAGCGACCUCAGAGCUGCUUCCGCAGCCGACCCAGAAAUUGGGGUGGGCAGGGAGCGAAUUCAGCUCGGGUUUCAGGAGCACGGCCUCUGGCACCUUUGACUUGUCUGAGACAGCCCCCGCUUAAUGAACCCUAGGAAGGGACGCGGACCUGGAAGGCCCAAAAAUAUUUAUUCUUGUAAUUCUCACUAAAUGGGAGGGGGCGGUGGUGUCGCAAUUUCUGUUCCUUUGAGGAUCCGGUGUUGGGCAUCUCGUCUUCACUGUCUCAUCUCGCCAUCCAAAUUGUCCAUUCUCCACCAAUUAUGCUAGAACUCUGCUUUGUCUUCCAGGAGGGACUGCAGUAGGAAAAAGCCUCCCCCAAAUCUAACAGCUUGAUCAUCUACAUUUUCAAUUUUCAGAAGAACUUGGAAAUGGAAGUGCUUUUGGAAAAAAUGUUGAGGGUGAAAAGAAACAUUGCCUAAGUGGCCUUUACUCACUCAUACCAUCAACUAGUGUAUGAGAGACUUUCAGGAGGUUGCUUGUUGGCACCAGCUCCCCUGUUGCUGCGUAUCUGUGGUGAGCAUUUGAAAGUUGACUCUGGGGCCAGGUGACCUCGGGAUGAAAAAGGCUGCCCAGCAUCUAUGGUUUCAGGUGCUGGAGGCCCCAUGCAGAGUUUAAUUUUUAAACUGAAAUCCAAGGCCUGGGUUCCUGGGAUGGGGUAAAGGGAAACCAGAAAGCCCCCCAAAAAGUGUGUGCAAAAUUAGUGUGUGCUCAGGUAUGUCAUUCUAAGGCUGUAGUCUCUUCCGUUUUUCCAGAUUCCCCAGAGACUGAGGUCAGCAAUGGGCAGGGGGCCAGCUCACUGACCCGUCUCUGCCCGCCCUCACCCCACAGCCUAGGAGGGCGGGGGUGGGCAACGGCAUUCUAGAACGGUGUGGAAACUGCCGCCCUCUGGUCUGCUCUUCUUCUGUCACUAAUAACUCUCAGAGGCAAAUCCUGAUAGAAGGAGUGACUGUUUAGUGGGGGGGAAAAAUGUACAGCAAGAUGAGGAGUGAAAAGAGGGAAAUGGGGCGCAUGCUGGAGGGGCGCCCCAUGCAUAUCCUGGAAUAUGGAUGUUGGGAUAGAAACAAGUUACUUCCUGUCUUCCAGCUGUUAAUGAGCUCCCAGCUUCUUCCUUCUUCUUGGUGAAGGGGAAGGGGCCAGAGGGCAUUCCCCAACCCUUGCCAGCUAAAGCAGAGUGGGACUGCCUGAAGCAGAGUUGGCCUUUCAGAAAAUUUGAAAACUGUAAGCCACAGCCUCAUAUUUUUCCUGUCCAUGCCACUUUUAAUCCAUUUUUUAAAAAUCCCCAGUAAUGCUUUGGGGCCUUUUCCUGGAGGGGUAGGUGGUGGAGUUCAUGAGUCAUGCAGGGCCAUACCUGUGUGUCUGAGCCAGAAGGUGAGCAUCAGUGCACCAGACCCCCACCUCCGUCUGCAGCCGGGCCUCAGUCCUGUACACAAACCUCCCCAGAGCCUGUUAGACCCGAAUCCUUGGUUGUUUUCUCUUGUUUUGUUUUGUGAAUAACUAGUGAGGCACGCUGGAAUUCCUUUGCUCUCCCACCCUGAAGCGCACUUAACCAGACCCCUUCAUCAGACAAAGUGAGCAAGAAAUCAGUAACUUCACUCCCAGUUAUCUGGAGCCCAAGGUGAAAGGGAUUUUUUCUCAGUUUUGGUUACACGGCCGAACUGCCCUUCCAAAUCUGGAUUCUACGAAGUUUGUAAAAACAAAACAAAACAGAAAAAUGGACCAGGGCAGAAAAGAACUGUGGGGAGGAUUAGUGGCGGGCUGGGUAGUGGUCAUUUUUGUUUGAUUUUGAGUAUUUUAGGAAAGCAGAGAGAAGAUGAUUUGGGACACUAUUAGCCGCUGGCCGUCACUGCCACUCCGGCGAAGACCGGCCCCUCGGUUUCUCCUCUGGGUGCCCUUGCCCGACUCAGCCCCUCAGACCUUCUGACUCUCUUCUCCUCCUUUCCAGCAAGUUCCUGGCAAUAAACAGGGAUGAGCAGGGCAAAGAUCUGGCGGCUAGAGGGAAAAAAGGGGAAAAAACCCGCUUUCGGCGGAAAGAUGCAAAGAACCGAGGUCAGGCCGUGGCUGGCAGUCAGAGCCGUAACCAGGAGGCCCGGCGCCUAACUCUGCUCGCGAGGAGCGGGGAGGCGAGCAGAGGCCUCGGGGCGUUUUCCGGGGGGAGGUGGCCUCCAGACUCCGUGAACGCCGAGCGGGGCGGCGGGGACCGCGGGCCAAGUCCGAGGCCAGACCGCUUCUCUCCACGCGGACAUCGCCCGCCCGGCGAAAGAAAGGGGCCGAGCGGGUGCUUCCGCGGCUCGUAAAUUUGUUUCCCCUUCCUUUAACCCGCCCUCGGCCGUCUUUCUUUUCAGGACAGGAGGGGAUGUAAACCAUUUGAAGUUCAUCAACACGGUGAAGUUUUAUUGUAUUUCCGGUCCCCAAGAUUUAUACCCGGGAGGGGGAGCGGGCGGCCCCGCAGACUCCUGCGCCCCCUCGGACUUCCUCGUCUGACACGUGGCCGCUGGGACCCUGGCCUCCCGGACGAGGCCGGGAGGGAGCCCGGCCGGGCGGGACAGGACCCCUGGCUCCGCGCCUGCCGCCCCUUCCGACGGCCGCUCCCGCCACCGCCGCCGCCCAGAGUCACCUCUCCUGAGAAGAUGACAAGACCUCCAAAACCUGUCACUUUGGAAUUAUUCCCACCCUCCAGCUUGUUUGUGAGCAAAAGCUAAGUUUUGGUCUCAGAAAAGAGGUCUGAGUCCCCUCUUCACCCAGCACCCCGGAGCCACCAGGGGUUAGGGGCAACUCACCAGACAGACAGCAGUCCACAAACCUGUCUGUGGGGACACCCCACCCUUGUAGGGCACAGGUCAUGAGCCUAAAUGUUCUUCUUCCUCAAACUUCUUCCCUAAACUAAGUGACUCUCUCAACUUCUCUCUUGUCACAAAGAGAGGCAGCCGCAAAGCCAGAGACAGAAUGGCAACCAGAAGGGCGGGAGCCCAGCGUCUGCACAGCCUGGGUCUUAAGAAGAGCCCAGUGCGCUGUAGCUUUGUCAUAAAUAAAAAAGUCCCUGGCCA